AUUUCAUUUCAGGUUCUUUCUGAGACAUGUUUUCAUGGUGUGGGAAUAAGACUUGGUGGUCUUAUACAGCUAAUACAAAGGUUAGCAUCACAGCUUGUCUGUAAGGAUUGAAGCUGGGAGUGGGCAUUGGAACUGACUUUUAUGAUAACUGUGGCUGCAUAAAAUGGUUGUGUGAUAUAACUGCAACAGUAAAGAAUGUAAUUCAGACUAUUUUUGUGUAUGCUUGAGAAAAUGUUUAUAAUUUUUUUACAAAAAAAAAAAAAAAAAAUAUGUAAAGAUUCUCUAUUUUCAACAAGAUUGGAAGUUGUAGGUUAACUUGUAUUUGACAUUACAAAAAUUCUUUCUAUUUUCCAUUUAUACUCAUGUCUAGUCAAAACACUUCCAGCAGUUUAAGAAUGGAUAAUCUAAAAGAAAAAGAAAGAAAAAAGAAAAAAAAUGUUCAAUUAUUGAAAUGUAUUUUUUUUUUGGCAAAUUGUAAUGUAUAUAUUUUUGCCAUCUUUUUGUUAUUUUAGGAUUUGAGAUACUUUAAAAUUUUACAAGUUACUUUAUACAUGUAGUUAAUGCAAUUAAAUCUGCCGAUGUGAAUAUUCCCACUAAAUUUCUUAGCAAAAAUUUUAAUUAUUUUUGUUAUUUUUAGCAACGUUUCAAAAUACCUUACCAUAGCAAAUGCCUCUUUAGUGUAAACUAAAAAGAUGAAUAAUGGUCUGCAGUAAAUAUAUCCCCUUACAACCUUUUCUUUCAUGUUAAUUUUAAUAUCUUUAAGAUAUGUGACAAGGGUGCUCUAAUGCAGAGGAAUUUACGAAGUUAAGAAGUUAGAAAUAUAUUUUUUGCACUUUUUUUGUCAUUUUUAGCUGAUUUUGGUUUGUAACCAAGGUGAUAUUUUUUUAAAGAAUAAUUUUACAAAAGGCAUAGUUGAGGAACAUCUUGUUGAAAUUGGAUUGGUUGAUUUUUGGUGUUAAACACCACUUUAACAUGAUUUACUAUAAUUUUGGCUGUAAACUUUUAUUUAUGGAGACAGCCAGAGUGCCUGGUGAAAACAUCACCUUCAUCAGGGAAACGGG